GGUCACGUAUGUUUUGGCACGGUGUCCCAGUGUGAGUUUAUAUGAUAAUGUAAAAAGACUUGUGUAUUUGCAUGCAUCUGAGGGAAACGCAGUGUAGAGCUGCACUUAUACUAGCAUGUGUGUAUGUAAUCUUUUUGUUCCAUAUCUCUUUGCAGACACCCUGUCUUGAGGCUGGCAGUCAAGGUCCCAAUUAAUGGCAAUUACAGCAGCGGCAUCCUGAUGGAGAGAUAAGAGCACAGUGGAGCACUGACACCAAAGGAGAUGUGCUGCCAGACCUCCAGUUUUUUUCUUUUUUGCCAAUUACAUCAUCUAUAAUGCAGUGAUGUUGUCUGGUAAUAUAUCUAUUUAGAAAAAAGUAUUGCUUUAAUUACCCCAAACUGUACAGCUCAAGACUACAUGUGUGUUCUGAAGAGACUGUGUUUUGUGACUAUUUAUAAUUAGAAUAAUGCAAUGCUUGGCAUGCUGGUGGACAGAAGCUCAGACUUAAAUCUCCCAGUCUCAGGCGACUUUUCACAUGAUGCUCCGGUUCUGUCUGGCCACUGCCCUUCACACACACAGCUUGUGCACCUUGGCUGUCCUUGACUCCUGGCACCCAACAGUGCAGCCAGAUGUACGGUAAGUGUGUGUGUGUGUGUGUGUGUGUGUGUGUGUGUGUGUGUGUGUGUGUGUGUGUGUGUGUGUGUGUGUGUGUUGAUUAAGGUCAGCUACCUUAGAUUCAGUAUCUGACCUUCCUACGGCCUUGUAAAAGGUCAGAGGAGAGUUUCUUUUAGUGCUAUACUCCUCACAAGGUUACCCAUGUGAGAUGUGUUUAUAUUCUAUUAUUAUAAAUAAACAGUUAUAUGAGUAAUUUACAUGUGUAAAUUUGCAUUUAUAUAUUUAGAAUAUAUUUAAUAAACAGUGUACUAUAUAUCUCAAUUUAUUAGUAAAUUCAGUAUUAAUAGUGAGUUAAUAUUAUAAUGUAAUUACUGUAAGCAUAUAAUAGGUGUGCACACAUGCUUGUGUGUAUGUUGUUUCAGUAUAGGAUAAAAUAUAUUUUUGUAAAUUAAUAUUUUAUGUAAGACCAAAAAACAGCUUUACAUACAAGGGGUUUGUCCUAGAUGAAGCACAGCUUUACAUGCUUUACAAAGAUAAGACCAAGUUAAAAGCAAUAAAACAAUAAAAUAACAAGGUAAAAUAAAAUGAUUGAAGAAUUGAAAAUGAACAGGUCACACGAUGGCAUAGCGGUUAGUGUUACGGUCUACAUCUCCAAGAUCGAUAGUUUGCUGCUUUCCUCUUGGUUAUCUGGUUUCCAC
ensembl:lncRNA